GGGAGAGGCGGAGGGAAGAGGGGGAAAUCCCUUUUAGUUUUGCGAUUAGGCUGCCAGGCUUUGUAAAGGGCUUAAAAACAAAGUCAUGCUCAGUCUUUUGUAGGAGAGAUCCAGAUGUUAUGUAGAUUUCUGUUUGCAUGUUCGUUUUGAGCGGAUCCGGCGGUGAGCGCAGUAUUUACCGUGUGCGUGCUGCUGGACUUUACCGUUUAUCGACGUUGCGCUUGUGGAAUGUAUGCUGGAGUAUUAGCUCGAGGAUCUCCUCCAAGAUUAAAGCUAGUCCUAAGAGCAACCGAAUUGCUGUGACUGACUUUCACGGGACUGUAAAGAGAGAGGGAAAACCCCCAACUCUGGACGAAACACGAGCGGCGCGGGGUCGCUCUGCCGCGGAGCCCCCGUUUCCCCGCUGGCUGCCCGGGCCGCGGGGCUGCAGCCGGCGCUCCAUCAGCAGCCCUCUAGCGCUAUCUGGCGGGGCUCCAAGCCCAGCGGAGCCGAGCCGGCCGCGGGGCUCGCUCGGCGGCCGCAGGGCCCUCGGCCCCGGCUCAGCGGCUCCCGCGGGACGCUGCUGUGGCCAGGCCCACCUUCCAUCCCUAAGGGGCGAAACCCGCCCCGGCAAGGAGCAUAGACAUGAACCCCUUCGCGUUUGUCCGCUGCCUAUAAAACUCCAGAAGAGGAGCGCUCUCAUUUUUACACUGGAGUUCUCGGUCCGGAGAGAACAAUAUACUCCUACCUCUUUUGAAAUGAUCCGGAGACUCUCACAACACACAAGCAAUCACUCGAAGCACGAAAUUCCCCUUUUUUUUUUUUUUCUCAAGAAACUGCUUGGCCCAUUGUUUGAAGUGGGAUUCAGCGCACAGCCCAAAGAGAAAAGGAAAAAAAAAAAAUCUUGAGAGCCCCGUUUGGUAUUGCACAGAGAGAGAGCUGACAAAAUAUUAUAGCGUGUUUCCUAGAAGUACGUGGUGAGAGCCGGCGGUGUGUUCCGGAAAAGAGGUUGCUUUUUAUUUCCACCUCCACCCCCCCAAGAUUGUGAUCGUCUUUGUAUGUCUUUCUUUUGAUCCCACAAAGAGAAUGCAAUAUACAUAUACGUGUUUGCUCUCCAUACAAGAAAUGCCAUACAAUGGAAUAUGCGGCCGGUUAGUCCUCAUAAUGCUUAGUUUUGCUGUAAUUAAUUGAAAACAGUUAUUAGGUCGUCAUUGGCAAUAGCGUAAAUAAUUGCAGCAGAUUUUUACUUAAAAUUGACCGGUCAUGGAGUGAUAGAUCGAUUCGAGGUAUAAAAAUGAUGUAUCAAAACAUCAAUGUCGAUUAUUUGAAAUAUUGUAGUCGAAUCUUUUUAUUGCUUCAUCGGUUAAGUGUCUGAAAGUGCUGUGUUCCAACAUAUAUUUAUGUUGUCAAUACUGUCAAAACUGUCAGUUUUAUUACAGUGGAUUUGUAAUACAUUUCGGAUUUGCUCAUUUACAUAAAAUGUCCACCUCAGAUACCCCUCCUUUUCUCCAUCUCUGGAAAUCUGUGUCAGUUUAAUGAAAGGAUUCAAGACUCAUACCUGAAGAGGGAAAAAAAAAAAAAAAAAAAGGAGGAAAAAAACCCUGAAGGAGGUAUUUCUCCAUUAUGUCCAAUUUUAACAUCCUUUUGGAAAGCUUGGGCUACUUCUGGCAUGCCAAAAGAGGGAAUUCCUCUCCCCCCCCCGCCCCCCCCCUUUACCCUGGCCCCUCUUAUUUCCUCAGUAGAAUUUACAGACUUUUCUGCUCUCACACCUAGAUUAAACCCUCCAGGAGAAUUGGGAAAUGGUACAAGGUUAUAGUGAUGAGCCAAAGCACACCUGUGCAUGCCACAGCCUUCCCAAAGAGAGCAACAAGCCCCAGAACCACAAACACACGCGCAGGGGUCUGAAUCCCGCUAGAAAGAAGGAGACAAAAGAAGCAAUAAAUAUGUGUGUGAUCCUUUCCUUUGGUUUGGA
ensembl:lncRNA uncharacterized LOC107205480